GACGAACGCUGGCGGCGUGCCUAACACAUGCAAGUCGAGCGAGAGACUUCGGUCUCUAGCGGCGGACGGGUGAGUAACACGUGGGUAACCUGCCUCAUAGAGGGGGAUAGCCUCCCGAAAGGGAGAUUGAUACCGCAUAAUAUGUAUUGAUUGCAUGAUUGAUACAUUAAAGGAGAAAUCCGCUAUGAGAUGGACCCGCGGCGCAUUAGCUAGUUGGAGAGGUAACGGCUCACCAAGGCGACGAUGCGUAGCCGACCUGAGAGGGUGAUCGGCCACAUUGGAACUGAGAAACGGUCCAGACUCCUACGGGAGGCAGCAGUGGGAAUAUUGCACAAUGGGGGAAACCCUGAUGCAGCAACGCCGCGUGAGUGAAGAAGGCCUUCGGGUUGUAAAGCUCUGUCAUUGGGGACGAUAAUGACGGUACCCAAUGAGGAAGCCACGGCUAACUACGUGCCAGCCGCCGCCGUAACAC
rnacentral:rRNA from 1 species